GAUGAACGCUGGCGGCGUGCCUAAUACAUGCAAGUGGAGCGAAAAGACGAGGGGUUUGUUCCUUUGACGUAAGCGGCGGACGGGUAGUUAAAACUUAGUUAACCUACUUAUAAGACGGGGAUAAUUUGGGAAAACCGGGGCUAAAACCGGAUAAUAUUUCGAACCGCAUGGUUAGAUAGUGAAAGAUGGCUUUGCUAUAACUUAUAGAUGGACCGGCGCCGUAUUAGCUAGUUGGUAAGGUAACGGCUUACCAAGGCAACGAUACGUAGCCGACCUGAGAGGGUGAUCGGCCACACUGGAACUGAGACACGGUCCAGACUCCUACGGGAGGCAGCAGUAGGGAAUCUUCCGCAAUGGGCGAAAGCCUGACGGAGCAACGCCGCGUGAGUGAUGAAGGUCUUCGGAUCGUAAAACUCUGUUAUUAGGGAAGAACAAACGUGUAAGUAACUGUGCACGUCUUGACGGUACCUAAUCAGAAAGCCACGGCUAACUACGUG
rnacentral:rRNA from 1 species